UACGUAGGAGGCGAGCGUUGUCCGGAAUUACUGGGUGUAAAGCGCGUGUAGGCGGUGAGUUAAGUCUGUUGUGAAAGCGCCCGGCUCAACCGGGCAGAGUCAAUGGAAACUAGCGCACUGGAGGUCGGUAGAGGCGAGUGGAAUUCCCGGUGUAGUGGUGAAAUGCGUAGAGAUCGGGAGGAACACCAGUGGCGAAGGCGGCUCGCUGGGCCGGACCUGACGCUGAGACGGCGAAGGCGUGGGGAGCGAACGGG
rnacentral:rRNA from 1 species